AGCUAGUUGGUGGGGUAAAAGCUCACCAAGGCGACGAUCUGUAGCGGGUCUGAGAGGAUGAUCCGCCACACUGGAACUGAGACACGGUCCAGACUCCUACGGGAGGCAGCAGUGGGGAAUUUUGGACAAUGGGGGCAACCCUGAUCCAGCCAUGCCGCGUGAGUGAAGAAGGCCUUCGGGUUGUAAAGCUCUUUCGGCCGGGAAAAAAUCGCAUGGGUUAAUACCCUGUGUGGAUGAUGGUACCGGAAUAAGAAGCACCGGCUAACUACGUGCCAGCAGCCGCGGUAAUACGUAGGGUGCGAGCGUUAAUCGGAAUUACUGGGCGUAAAGCGUGCGCAGGCGGUUUUGUAAGACAGGCGUGAAAUCCCCGGGCUCAACCUGGGAACUGCGCUUGUGACUGCAAGGCUAGAGUAUGGCAGAGGGGGGUGGAAUUCCACGUGUAGCAGUGAAAUGCGUAGAGAUGUGGAGGAACACCAAUGGCGAAGGCAGCCCCCUGGGCCGAUACUGACGCUCAUGCACGAAAGCGUGGGUAGCAAACAGGAUUAGAUACCCUGGUAGUCCACGCCCUAAACGAUGUCAACUAGGUGUUGGGAGGGUAAAACCUUUUAGUACCGGAGCUAACGCGUGAAGUUGACCGCCUGGGGAGUACGGCCGCAAGGUUAAAACUCAAAGGAAUUGACGGGGACCCGCACAAGCGGUGGAUGAUGUGGAUUAAUUCGAUGCAACGCGAAAAACCUUACCUACCCUUGACAUGUCCAGGAGCCUGAAGAGAUUUGGGUGUGCCCGAAAGGGAACUGGAGCACAGGUGCUGCAUGGCUGUCGUCAGCUCGUGUCGUGAGAUGUUGGGUUAAGUCCCGCAACGAGCGCAACCCUUGUCGUUAAUUGCCAUCAUUCAGUUGGGCACUUUAACGAGACUGCCGGUGACAAACCGGAGGAAGGUGGGGAUGACGUCAAGUCCUCAUGGCCCUUAUGGGUAGGGCUUCACACGUCAUACAAUGGUCGGUACAAAGGGUUGCCAACCCGCGAGGGGGAGCCAAUCCCAGAAAGCCGAUCGUAGUCCGGAUUGCAGGCUGCAACUCGCCUGCAUGAAGUCGGAAUCGCUAGUAAUCGUGGAUCAGCAUGUCACGGUGAAUACGUUCCCGGGUCUUGUACACACCGCCCGUCACACCAUGGGAGCGGGUUCCGCCAGAAGUAGGUAGCCUAACCGCAAGGGGGGCGCUUACCACGGCGGGGUUCGUGACUGGGGUGAAGUCGUAACAAGGUAGCCGUAGGGGAACCUGCGGCUG
rnacentral:rRNA from 1 species